GACGAACGCUGGCGGCGUGCUUAACACAUGCAAGUCGAACGGAGUGGCGAACGGGUGAGUAACACGUGGGUGACCUGCCCUGCACUUCGGGAUAAGCCUUGGAAACUGGGGCUAAUACCGGAUAGUGUGGGAUGGGCCCGCGGCCUAUCGGCUUGUUGGUGGGGUAAUGGCCUACCAAGGCUGCGACGGGUAGCCGACCUGAGAGGGUGGACGGCCACAUUGGGACUGAGACACGGCGCAGACUGCUACGGGGGGCAGCAGUGGGGAACAUUGCGCAAUGGGCGGAAGCGUAAUGCAGCGGCGCCGCGUGGGGGAUGACGGCCUUCGGGUUGUAAACUCCUUUAACCAUCGACGCGGUAGAUGGAGAAGAAGCACCGGCUAACUACGUGCCAGCAGCCGCGGUAAUAC
rnacentral:rRNA from 1 species